GUCUUCCUGUUUAUCAUAGGAAGUCUGACCUGCCCGGUGAAUGAAUUUAACGGCCGCGGUAUAUUGACCGUGCAAAGGUAGCAUAAUCAUUAGUCUUUUAAUAGGAGGCUGGUAUGAAGGGUUUGACGAGGAGUUAGCUGUCUCAAUUCUAAUUAUUUGAAUCUGACUUUUUGGUUAAAAGGCUUUAAAAUGUUAUUGGUAGACGAGAAGACCCUAUAGAGCUUUACAUUUUGUUUUUUAUAUUUUUUUGUUUUAUUUUUAGUUAUUUUUAACAAAUUGUUUUGUUGGGGCGAUGUUUGAAUAUGAGCAACUUCUUGUUUUUUGUCAUUGAUUUAUGAUUGUUUUGAUCCGUUGAUUUUAUUAGCGAUUAUUAGAUUAAGUUACCUUAGGGAUAACAGCGUAAUCCUUUUUUGGAGUUCUUAUUUACGAAAGGGUUUGCGACCUCGAUGUUGGAUUAAGAUAACUUUUUGGUGCAGUCACUUAAUUAGUAGGUCUGUUCGACCUUUAAAUUCUUACAUGAUCUGAGUUCAGACCGG
rnacentral:rRNA from 1 species